UUGGAGAAAGACCUGUGUCAUGUAGCUGUUUUCGGGCAGUGUUAUAGGGCAGGUGGAAUGCAACCAGCCUGGACUGAGGUCCGCGCAUCUGCUAGGAUGCUGGCGUAAUGG
rnacentral:rRNA from 1 species